ACUUGAAUAGUUUAAUCAAAAUAUUGAUUUGUGGUGUCAAUGAUGUAAUAAGUUACUUCGAGUA
rnacentral:tRNA from 1 species